rnacentral:rRNA from 1 species
UACGUAGGGAGCAAGCGUUGUCCGGAAUCAUUGGGCGUAAAGAGCGUGUAGGCGGCUAGGUAGGUCCGUUGUGAAAACUCGAGCUCAACCUCGAGACGCCGGUGGAAACCAUCUAGCUAGAGUCCGGAAGAGGAGAGUGGAAUUCCUGGUGUAGCGGUGAAAUGCGCAGAUAUCAGGAAGAACACCCGUGGCGAAGGCGGCUCUCUGGGACGUGACUGACGCUGAGACGCGAAAGCGUGGGGAGCGAACAGG